UCUAGAACUUGAGAUAUGAGCUGAACACUGAACAGUGUCUGGGCUGCAGGACAGAUUCGGACUUCUUUGUUGUUGCUACAAUUUGGACUUGAAAACGGCCUUGUUAAAUCUUGGGCUCCCAUGACAGUUGUAGGCCUAUGUCUUACCUUUCCAUC
rnacentral:pre_miRNA from 1 species